GACGAACGCUGGCGGCGUGCUUAACACAUGCAAGUCGAACGGAAAGGCCCUGCUUUUGUGGGUUUCUCGAUUGGCGAACGGGUGUGUAUCACAUGAGUAACCCGCCCCUGACUUUGUGGUAUCUUCAGGAAACUCGGGCUAAUACCCGGUAUGAUCUCCUGCUGCAUGUUGUUGGUUGGAAAGUUUCGGCGGUGGUGGCUGGUCUGGCGGCUUAUCCGCUUGUUGGUGUGGUAGUGGCUUACCAAGGCUUUGACGGGUAGCCUGCCUGGGAGGGUAAACGGCGACAAUGGGACUGAGAGACGGAGCAGAAGCCAACGGGAGGCAGCAGGGGGGAACAUGGCACAGUGGGGGGAAGCCUGAUACAGAAGCGCCGCGUGCGGAAUAACGGCCUUCGGGUGGUAAACCGCUUUCGACUGAGACGAGGAGGGAGUGACGGUAAUGGGUAAAGAAGCAACGGCUAACUACGUG
rnacentral:rRNA from 1 species